CCUACGGGAGGCAGCAGUGGGGAAUUUUGGACAAUGGGCGAAAGCCUGAUCCAGCAAUGCCGCGUGUGGGAAGAAGGCCUUCGGGUUGUAAACCACUUUUGUACGGAACGAAACGGUUCGCUUUAAUACAGUGGGCUAAUGACGGUACCGUAAGAAUAAGCACCGGCUAACUACGUGCCAGCAGCCGCGGUAAUACGUAGGGUGCGAGCGUUAAUCGGAAUUACUGGGCGUAAAGCGUGCGCAGGCGGUCAUAUAAGACAGUUGUGAAAUCCCCGGGCUCAACCUGGGAAUUGCAUCUGUGACUGUAUAGCUAGAGUACGGUAGAGGGGGAUGGAAUUCCGCGUGUAGCAGUGAAAUGCGUAGAUAUGCGGAGGAACACCGAUGGCGAAGGCAAUCCCCUGGACCUGUACUGACGCUCAUGCACGAAAGCGUGGGGAGCAAACAGGAUUAGAUACCCUGGUAGUCCACGCCCUAAACGAUGUCAACUGGUUGUUGGGUGCAUUAGUACUCAGUAACGAAAGCUAACGCGUGAAGUUGACCGCCUGGGGGAGGUACGGCCGCGAGUAGAACGACAAUAGAAGUAGUAGGCGUGAGAGNGCGACGACGACGACGAGGGAGGAGG
rnacentral:rRNA from 1 species